rnacentral:rRNA from 1 species
CAAGUCGAGCGAGAAAGGGUAGCAAUACCUGAGUAAAGCGGCGCACGGGUGAGUAACACGUGGAUAACCUGCCUCAAAGUGGGGAAUAACACCGGGAAACCGGUGCUAAUACCGCAUAUUCUGAUGAGAUCUGUGGAUUUUGUCAGUAAAGGAGCAAUUCGCUAUGAGAGGGGUCCGCGGCUGAUUAGCUAGUUGGUGAGGUAAUGGCUCACCAAGGCAACGAUCAGUAGCCGGUCUGAGAGGACGGUCGGCCACACUGGAACUGAGACACGGUCCAGACUCCUACGGGAGGCAGCAGUGGGGAAUUUUUCGCAAUGGGGGCAACCCUGACGAAGCAAUGCCGCGUGGAUGAUGAAGUAUUUCGGUACGUAAAAUCCUUUCGACGGGGACGAAACCGCAAGGUUGACGGUACCCGUAGAAGAAGCCCCGGCUAACUCCGUGCCAGCAGCCGCGGUAAUACGGGGGAGGCAAGCGUUGUUCGGAAUUACUGGGCGUAAAGGGUGCGUAGGCGGCUUUCUAAGUUGGAUGUGAAAACUCUGGGCUCAACCCAGAGACUGCAUCCAAAACUGGAGAGCUUGGGUUCUGGAGGGGAAAGCGGAAUUCCUGGUGUAGCGGUGAAAUGCGUAGAUAUCAGGAGGAACACCGGUGGCGAAGGCGGCUUUCUGGACAGAUACCGACGCUGAGGCACGAAAGCUAGGGGAGCAAACAGGAUUAGAUACCCUGGUAGUCCUAGCCCUAAACGAUGGAUACUUGCUGUGAGGGGGAUUGAAACCCCUUGUGGCGAAGCUAACGCAUUAAGUAUCCCG